rnacentral:rRNA from 1 species
GACAGAGGGGGCAAGCGUUGCUCGGAAUUACUGGGCGUAAGGGCGCGUAGGCGGGAUGGCAAGUCGGUCGUGAAAUCCCUCGGCUCAACCGAGGAACGUCGAUCGAUACUGCUGUUCUUGAGGAUUGCAGAGGAGACUGGAAUUCCCGGUGUAGCGGUGAAAUGUGUAGAGAUCGGGGAGGAACACCGGUGGCGAAGGCGGGUCUCUGGGCCGAUACUGGACGCUGAGGAGCGAAAGCGUGGGGAGCAAACAGG